UCUGAAACUAUUUCUCUCUCUCUCUCCACAAAUCUUUGCAUAUUUGUUUUUGCUCAUCUCAUGGGUGGUCUUGGUGGACUGGGUAAAGUUAUGGUCGGAGGACACAGCCUGGCCUUGAAUCAUCGGAGGAAGGCGAAGAAGAUGGUGGCUACGGUAUAUGGUGAGUUCACCCCGAUGGUCGGAGAUCGGUGAUAGAGGAGAGAUUCCUCCAGAUCCACUGUCAAUCUCCUCCAGAAUUUUCGUUAUACUUUUCUCUGUUCUCUGUGAGGACGACCAAUGCUCGAUCUAUGGGUUUUGGCCUUCCAGGAUCUGAUUGGGUGGGGUUUUGAAUCCCUAAUUCGUCAUCUCAGCCCUAGUUUCUCAUAAAUGUCUGUGAUUUAUGAGGUAUCUUGGUGAGUUAUUUGCUUCUUAUUAUUUCUCUUGUUCCGAUUAUUGCUGCAUUUUUUGUAUGUAUGUUGUUCAUGUUUAUUAGCCGUUGUUUGGAUUUAGCUGAAAAAUACAUGUAUUAGUGUUAAGGUGUUAAUUUGGUGUGGAUUGCUCUGAAUUUAUUCUUUGUUAAGAUAGAAUUGUGCUUUGUGAAAAUUGUGAUUUUACCUGUUGUCUACUACAAACCCAAGUUUGUUUCUUGGUGUUUAAACCCUUAGCCUUAAAGAGUAUAUUCCAGGUUUUAGUGUGUUAUGUUUGUGAGGGCUCUGAUUGUUUUGUGCAUUCUGGAAUAAUAUAGGUCAGUUUGACACAAUGAAGGAGAACGGUAGGUCAUAAGAUCGACCGUAUAAAAUUCUGGAGGUGAAGACAUGCUUUCCACCUCUGUCAUAAUUCUUUCCAAUAAUUCAGCAUCAAUCCUCUUAUUAUUACUAAGAUCCAAAUUCAGCAUCAAUCCUCUUAUUAUUAGUAAGAUCCAACACCAUCCGUACAUAUAGCUUCUAGAGCCUAUAAAAAGUUAACAACAAUAGAAAAACUUAGAAGUGAUUGAAGAAUAGCAUGGACUGCCUAGCGUGAUAUUGAGCAGUGAACAACAUAAAGACAUUAUGGACCAUAUAUAUGAUUAUUUGCCUAAUUACUUUCUAACUACCUGCUUCUUCAUAUUUCUUUGAUGCUUAUAAGUUUUCUUUUUAUUUCAUAUGGUGUCUCUGCCAUCAUCCAGAAAAGCUAAGACUCACACAGACCACCAAGUUUAUCUCAUGUGAAAAUAUAUAUUUAUAUAUAUAUGUAACAUUUAUACUUUUUUGAGGGAAAGCACUUUCCUGAGCAACAUUUCCAACAUCUAAAGCAACAUGGCUGUAGUUCUCCCACAGUUGAUAACUGUUUCGUAUGUCACCAGUCAUAGAAAGUGUCAAUAAAUAAAAUGAAGUAAAAGGGGAGGGAUGCAACUAUAAAUAGAGAGAAUGAGUGUGUGCGUGAGUGACAGUUUGAUUAAUGGAGAAGGAACCAACUUGAACUUCAGUGCUUCUCUAAAUGCAAUGAAAGCUUCUUUACUCUUCCCUUUUAUCAUAUGCCUGCAUAAUUGGUACAACAAGAGUUUAAAGAUUGUUGAAAUGAGCUGCUAGAAUACAAAAUUAUUAAUUGUUGAGCUAAUGAGCUUUUACUUGUUUUUGGGUUCAAUUUCAAAACCCAGGUAUGAAACCCUGACUACCCACUUCAUUUCUCUACUAUUUUCCUCUAUUUCAGUUUGUGUUCUUCAAUGAAUAAGUUGGGCUGAAAAUUAUUAUAUACAAUGUAAUGUGUUUGGGUAACUUUGUCUGCUUUGCUUAUGUAGCUUCCACUAUUGAUCACAACGUAUUUGACCAACUCCAUUUCUUCCACUACUUCAUUUCUCCAUUACCAAGCUUGCGAGACAAGCACGAAAAGAAGUGAGUAUCCCUCACAUUUUAUAUAUGAUAGUAUAUUCAUUUGAGUUUGAGAUUUACAGAUGCAAUUGGUACGUAAAUAUUAAGAUUUUUACAUGUUGAGGUGAAUUCAUAAGAUCUUCUGCAAUUGGUACAUACAUAUUAAGAUCAUAAAGAAUAUGCUAAUAAGAUACUUCAAUGAGGUGAAUUCAGUUUUUGUGUAGCGCCUCUUUGUUUCGUUAUCUUUGCAUAUCUCUCUCUUAGCGAUAGAGCCACGUUGGAAUUUACUUCUAUAAUAUUUAUGUGUAUGUUAUACCAGUCAUAUGACUUGCUUGCUACUUUAAUUUGAUUCUUAUUUACGAAAUUCGCAGGUUAGAUAAUUGGCUGAUAUGGUAGAUAUGUACAAUGAAGAUCUUUACACCGUGCAUAAUAAGGAACUAUCUUGUGGUGUUAUAGCAAGUUGAGUGCUCUACAACUGCAGUUUAUUGUUUUUAACUAUUCAAAUCAGUAUUUUUUCUGAACAAAACAAAACAAUUGAAACUUGAGUACAUAGUUAAAUUCAGUCCUUUCUGACUGAAUUUUCUUGGUACCUUUUCUACCAUACUGAGAUAAUUAAUGUAUGCUCAGUUGUCAUGCCAUAUAGAUUUGCUGCUCUAAGAACUUAUNNNNNNNNNNNNNNNNNNNNAGAUUCAUUGUUAGAUUUCAAUAGCUGAAGUUCAAACUUCCCUAAUAUUCAGUCUGAUAGAUGUUAUAUAUGACCUUUUCCUUUCAGCUUUGACAAAGGUUCAUAUGUAUUUGAGAUAGUUGUGAUGUUCAAGAUGUAUAUAACACUGAUGGAAGCCAAGCAGUAGCUACUAAAGAGUCCCUAUUGCUGGUAUAGUAACAUACAAUUGAGACUUCGGUUGUGGAAGCUUUGGCUUAGUUGGUUGCACUUAGUUGGUUUUGUGUUUGUGUCAAGGAGCUAAUUGGUAAAAACAGUUAGAGUUUGAUGUGUUUGUAUUGAUAGUUUUGAUGUAAGAUUGGUAGUAAUUUUGAGAGAUUUAAUUCAGUGUAACAAUUCUUUUUCUAAUAUGUUUAAUUUCUUUUUGCACAGCUUUUGUCAAAAAAAAAAAAAANNNNNNN
rnacentral:lncRNA from 1 species